rnacentral:lncRNA from 1 species
AAUGGUUUAUGCCCAGCUAGUGGGAAGGUGAAUAAUACGUAAAGGAGCUGGGAUCUACACAUAACGUUGGAUGACACAGACAUUGUACUUCAGAGUCUCGAAGCAUUUUGCCUUGGCACUGUCAUCUUCCGGACAGGAGCAUCUGGGCUCACUCCUGGCAUCUCGGAUCUAUUGCCCUGCAGUCCCCUCCGGGCACUGGAGCAGCGUCACGGUACAGACAAGUAGAGCCAGCACAGAGUGCAGCCACUGAGCCGACUGCAUUGCCUACCUAACCUUGAGGUUUAGAGCGAGUCUGGGAAUUUGAGCAAGGGAGAGAGAGAAAGCUUAUGUUCAUCCCCAAAUUGAAGGCUCAACAGCCGGCUUGAGAAAAAUGAGUUGCCGAAAGCCGAAAUUCUUCAGAGAGAAUUUUCCCAAAGUGACGUUUGACAUUGCCCUGUUUGUUUAUUUUCUUACUGGCCAAAGGGCCAACUCCAUAUUGUGUCCUAAUUAAACAGGAUAACAAAAUAGA